UAAAGUUUACGUCAGAGCUUUUGCUCAUAGUAAGGCUAAAAGAAUUUGCGCAUUAUCUCGGAAGGUUCCCGUCAUUAUGGCACAACGAAGAAAAUUUUAGAUGUGCUAGAUUUUUAGGUGGCGCCUGAAAAUCAUUGAGAGCCACUGAUGAUUCGCUAUGUAACGCAGUUGUCAUAUCAAUGCCUUCGUGCUGGAUUUUCGUGAUGCCAUAAUGAACCCAGCCUUGAGAACUGCUUGUUGCUAAUAUAAUAUGUGAAACCAGACGGCUUUGCGAGCGAUGGCACUACCUGCCGAAAGAGUACCUGCAAACGUUUGACUUGUUGGUUGCGGAUCUUAACCCGUGCAGUAGAGGUUCUGUAAAGAAAGAGUCAAAAGUUACUGAACAAGAUUUGCACUACAUCGUUCCGUCUUUCUCCGUGCUGUAUUGGUAAAAUUUCAAUAGAGUCUCCGGACCUGUGAACAUGACUUUACCACUCCGGGACGAUAUAAAGUGGAACCUAAGAUAUGGAGACAUGAUUAGAAAGAAAAGCAAAAAAGGCAUCUAUCCACACUAUCUUGUAGGGGGCGCACCGGAGAUCCUUCGCUAGCUAAACUCCUGAGAAGUGUAGUAAAUCAACCUAACGAGAUAGGAUGUUGAUACUAUGAUCAAUCUCAGUCAUGCUUGCUUCACGAGGCCUGCAAGGGCAAGCCGUCCUCCUCGAAAAGACCGAAAGCUUAACGUAAACCCGGGGAGAAUUCGUCAAAUGCUUUCGUAUCCUGUUGUGCGGAAUCGCAGAAAGAUAUA